GAGAUGGGAGCUACAUCAGCCCCUUUGUCAUCUUCAUAACUCAUACACUUUGCCCCCUGCAUAGAACGCAGGGACAGCCAAUGUGUAUUUCCCCCCACCCAAGAACAGAUUUCCAGUGUACUUCUAUUCUGUAAAACACCUCUCUUAGUGAGGCCAGGUAUUCCCAGAAUGCCAUGGGAAGAUGCCUUGUUGAAAUGGCUCCCUAACUCUGCUCAGCCAGCAUGGCCUGCGCAGUUUACCUACAAUAUUUCUGAGGCUGUGCUAAUUCGUGUGGUCCUCUGGGCACCAGGGCCACUUUGAAUUAUUACCUGAAGGUUUUGGCCUGCAGGUGCAGGCUCCUUUGGCUGAGAUCUACUGCACGUCUGCUCACUGGCAUGUUCCUGGCAAGCAGAAGCACACCUCUCCUGUGAGAAAUACCCACCUGAGAGUGUAGCCCUGUACGAUGGUGGUGAAGAUGAUUGGGAAAGGGAAGCUGUAACAGAGCACAAGAUGGAACUCAGUGGGAUCCAGAACACUCGACAAAGCUGGCCUCAAAUAGGAAAACUGUGGGCUGAGUGGAAGUCAAAGCUCGUCUUGACCCCUCCGUUCUACGGUCAUUCAGGCAGCAAGUCAUAUGAAACAACCAGCUCAAACUGGCUUGAGUCAUAGGAAAUUGUAGCAUUUAACACCACAAAUGAAAACCUAAGUUAACUGAUAACAAAUAGGUUUAUCUUUUAUACAUAUAAUAGGUCUAGAAAUGAACAGGAGUGGAUCGCUUGAUAUUCUCACACUGAAGAGGGCAACAUGAAGCCCUUUCAUGUUGCACAUGGGUCUUCCUGCUAUCGUGGUUAAAGAUACUUGUGACAAAGCUCUGGGAUUUUCUAGCCAUGGUA